AAUUUAAAGUAGAUUUUUUUCUAAAAAUAUUUAAAUCUAAUAAGUAAAAUAAAUAAAUUAGUAUAAAAUAAAAUAAAAUAUCAGUAGGUAAUACAACUAAUAAAGUAUUUGAUUCCAAAAUUUUAGAUUAGUGAAAAAAUCAGUAGGUAAUUAUCAGAAGCACAAAAAAUAAGACUAAUUAAAAGACAUUCGAAAUCAAAACAGAUAUUUUUUACAUUAUAAAAGAAUUCAACUACCAAAUAAAUAAUCUAAUAUUAUUAUAUUAUUAUUAUAUAAAUUAAUUUUUAAAAAAAUUGUGUGAACCUCACAACCCUCCAAAAUAAGAAGAGGCCUUCUUUAGUGUUGCCAAUUCAUAUAUGCAUGUUUUGGGAAAUAAAGUGAAAAGCAUGCAAAAUUUAGGAAUCAAAAUUGGCAUGCAAAAAAAAAUUAAAUAGGCGAUGGUAUGAUAAUUUCGCUAAUUCUAAAACAAUUUUUAACGGUUGUUAUUUUAUCGCGAUGAAAUUAAGAGGUUUGAAAAUAUUUAGGAACAAAAAAAAAUGGUGGAAAGUUUGGAAAGCACUAUACAAUUAAUCCUAAAAAAAUCAUAAAAAACUUUGUGGGCCACACAACCCUCUAAAAUAAGGGGAGGUUUUUUUUUGGUUCCUAAUUGGAUGAAAUUUUAAUUUUGUUAUCUUGACUAUUGAAAAAAAAGAUUUCUCUAUGCGAUAAAAUUUUAUACUUAAUGAAGAAAAAAAUAAAAAAAAGAUGUGAUAUUUAUUAGCUGAAAUUUUAAUUUUUUUAUAUUGACUAUUAAAAAAUAGGGUUGACUAAUGCGAUAAAAUUUUACACUUGCUAUAAGCAAAAAUAAAAA
rnacentral:lncRNA from 1 species